GAAAUUCUUGGGCAUAAAACCUUGUGGACAUCAACUGAGAAAUGCAAUCCUCUUGUGCACAGGGACACUUCAGCCAUCUGGAAAGUCCUCUUGUGAAAUCCUUAUCUAGGAUAAGCACAGGCCCACUCUGAAGAACCUUGUGACUUCAAUUCUUAAGGAAUUCACAACUCGAUGUGAAAGAAGUCAGCACAACUCUCAUUCCCAGUGUCUGAUACCAGGAAGAAAAAAACUUCCAGGGAAUAAUGGGAUGUUUCCAGCUUGUAUAGUCCCACCAAAACAAGCAGCUAUGCAAGAUGGCUUUCCAGCUUCAAACUGUGAUGUGAGGAGGAAAUAAAUUCCUGACGUGUUGCUGAACAGUGACCCUGAUGUAGCCUAGGCGGGGCAUUUUUCCCCGUGCAUCCAUCUCUUUGCUACUGAUGAAGAUCCCAUGGAACACAGCUGUCUUCAUUUCUGAGGCUCAUGAGAUACUGCUGAGUGGAGGUGUGGGGAUUUGGAUUUCUUUUCAA